AUGAAUUGCCUCAGUUGGAACUGUCGGGGAGUUGGAAACAAACCGACAGUUCGGCUGGUAGCCCUUGUUAAGGCUACCGAGACGAGGAUAGUGUUCUUAUGUGAAACCAGGCAAAGUUCAGAAAAAGUUCGGCGUCUGCGUAAUAGGUUGGGUCUCAGAGGUUUUGCUGGUGUUGAUAGUGUGGGUCUUAGUGGUGGACUUGCAUUAUUUUGGUGUGAUCAGAUAUACGUUGAUGUCAAGGAUAUGAAUGAAAGGUUUAUCGAUGCAUAUGUCCGUGUAUCUCCUACUGCACCUCUUUGGCGGCUGACUUGUGUGUAUGGGCAACCUAGGGUGGAAAACCGGCAUCGUAUGUGGACAAGUUUACAGAAUUUGCACGUAAGUUCAGAUUUGCCAUGGUGUGUCAUUGGUGAUUUUAACAAAGCCAUGUGGUUCUUUGAGCACCUUGUAGCAACUCAACGAAAUGAAAACCAAAUAAUAGCAUUCAGGGACGCCUUGGAAUGUUGUAAUCUAGUGGAGUUGGGCUUCCAAGGGUUACCACUCACGUACGACAACAAGCAGUGA
rnacentral:rRNA from 1 species